rnacentral:lncRNA from 1 species
GUUGUCAUCUAUACUUCUCAUCAACUAGGUAUAAAUCAGAGGUUCCCAUGACUUCCUCCUUGCUGCUGCUGCUGCUAAGUCGCUUCAGUCGUGUCUGACUCUGUGCAACCCCAGAGACAGCAGCCUACCAGGCUCCCCCGUCCCUGGGAUUUUCCAGGCAAGAACACUGGAGUGGGUUGCCAUUUCCUUCUCCAAUGCAUAAAAGUGAAAAGUGAAAGUGAAGUCACUCAGUGGUGUCCGACUCUUAACGACCCCACGGACUGCAGCCUACCAGGCUCCUCCAUCCAUGGGAUUUGCUAGGCAAGAGUUCUGGAGUGGGUUGCCAUUGCCUUCUCCUCCUUAGGUUCAAUUAACUUGCUAGAGUAGCUCAAGGAACUCAGGAAACGUUUAUUCAAUAGAUUACUGGUUUAUUACAAAGGACAAUAAAAGAUAUGGAUCAAUAGCCAAAUGAAGAGAUACGCAGGACAAGUUCCUGAAUAAAGGAGCUUCUGUCCCCAUGAACUGCGGGGCUGGCACAGCAGCAUGUGGAAGAGUUCUGGUUCACCAGCUUGGAAGCUCUCCAAACCAUGUCCUUUGGGGUUUUUAUGGAAGUUCCAUUACGUAGGCGUCAUUGAUUGAAUCACUGCCAUUGACAGUUGAUUCAACCUCCAGCCCCUUUCCCCUCCCUGGAGGUCAGGGAGGUGGGACUGAAAGUUUCAACCCUUUAACCACCUGCUUGGUUCGUCAGGCAACCAGCCCCCAACCUUAGGUGGGGUCCAAAAGUCAUCUCUGGAACCUAACAUAAGACACUUUCAAGGCUCUGAUCACUUAGGAAAUUACAAAGAUUUUAGGAGCUCUGUCCCCAGAACUGUGGACAGAGAUCCAAUAUAUAUAUUUCUCGGUCUAAAUCACAUUGCAAGAGGUCACGUAGAUCUCAUGGAGGGCAACAUUGGGUGGGCAUUGCCCACUUGUUUUUCCACUAGGUACUUUUCCUGGAUCUUACCACCUUCUCACAGUUGGAAAGUCUAGGAUCAAGGCCAAGAAAGUCCCUUCACACAUGUCACC